CCUACGGGUGGCAGCAGUGAGGAAUAUUGGUCAAUGGGCGCGAGCCUGAACCAGCCAAGUAGCGUGAGGGAUGACUGCCCUACGGGUUGUAAACUUCUUUUAUAAGGGAAUAAAGUGAGGCACGUGUGCCUUUUUGUAUGUACUUUAUGAAUAAGGAUCGGCUAACUCCGUGCCAGCAGCCGCGGUAAUACGGAGGAUCCGAGCGUUAUCCGGAUUUAUUGGGUUUAAAGGGAGCGUAGAUGGGUUGUUAAGUCAGUUGUGAAAGUUUGCGGCUCAACCGUAAAAUUGCAAUUGAUACUGGCAGCCUUGAGUACAGUUGAGGUAGGCGGAAUGCGUGGUGUAGCGGUGAAAUGCUUAGAUAUCACGAAGAACUCCGAUUGCGAAGGCAGCUUACUAACCUGCCACUGACAUUGAUGCGCGAAAGCGUGGGUAUCAAACAGGAUUAGAUACCCCGGUAGUC
rnacentral:rRNA from 1 species